GAUGAACGCUGGCGGCGUGCCUAAUACAUGCCAGUCGAGCGAACAGACGAGGAGCUUGCUCCUCUGACGUUAGCGGCGGACGGGUGAGUAACACGUGGAUAACCUACCUAUAAGACUGGGAUAACUUCGGGAAACCGGAGCUAAUACCGGAUAAUAUAUUGAACCGCAUGGUUCAAUAGUGAAAGACGGUUUUGCUGUCACUUAUAGAUGGAUCCGCGCCGCAUUAGCUAGUUGGUAAGGUAACGGCUUACCAAGGCGACGAUGCGUAGCCGACCUGAGAGGAUGAUCGGCCACACUGGAACUGAGACACGGUCCAGACUCCUACGGGAGGCAGCAGUAGGGAAUAUUCCGCAAUGGGCGAAAGCCUGACGGAGCAACGCCGCGUGAGUGAUGAAGGUCUUCGGAUCGUAAAACUCUGUUAUUAGGGAAGAACAAAUGUGUAAGUAACUAUGCACGUCUUGACGGUACCUAAUCAGAAAGCCACGGCUAACUACGUG
rnacentral:rRNA from 1 species